ensembl:rRNA 5S_rRNA 5S ribosomal RNA
GUCUCAGGCCGUAUCAGCCUGAAGGCGCCCGAUCUCGUCUGAUCUCGGAAGCUAAGCAGGGUCGGGCCUCGUUAGUAUCUUGGAUGGGAGACCACCUGGGAAUCCCGGGUGCUCGAGGCU